rnacentral:tRNA from 1 species
ACUUUAAUAGCUCAAGUAGAGCAUUACUUUGAAGCAGUAAAGGUGUGUAAGCUUAAAGUA